UACAGAGGUCUCAAGCGUUGUUCGGAUUCAUUGGGCGUAAAGCGUGCGCAGGCGGUUUUGUAAGCCGGAUGUGAAAUCCCCGGGCUUAACCUGGGAAUGGCAUUCGGGACUGCAAGGCUGGAGUGCGGCAGAGGAGACUGGAAUUCCUGGUGUAGCAGUGAAAUGCGUAGAUAUCAGGAGGAACACCGAUGGCGAAGGCAGGUCUCUGGGCUGACACUGACGCUCAUGCACGAAAGCGUGGGGAGCAAACAGG
rnacentral:rRNA from 1 species